CAAAUCUUGACAUCCUUUGACCGCUCUAGAGAUAGAGUCUUCCCCUUCGGGGGACAAAGUGACAGGUGGUGCAUGGUUGUCGUCAGCUCGUGUCGUGAGAUGUUGGGUUAAGUCCCGCAACGAGCGCAACCCUUAAGCUUAGUUGCCAUCAUUAAGUUGGGCACUCUAGGUUGACUGCCGGUGACAAACCGGAGGAAGGUGGGGAUGACGUCAAAUCAUCAUGCCCCUUAUGAUUUGGGCUACACACGUGCUACAAUGGAUAAUACAAAGGGCAGCGAAUCCGCGAGGCCAAGCAAAUCCCAUAAAAUUAUUCUCAGUUCGGAUUGUAGUCUGCAACUCGACUACAUGAAGCUGGAAUCGCUAGUAAUCGUAGAUCAGCAUGCUACGGUGAAUACGUUCCCGGGCCUUGUACA
rnacentral:rRNA from 1 species